UUUUUUUUUUUUAAAUUCUUAAGAAAUGAGGGUGAAAAGUAUUCGGAAACAAAGGUCUUGUCACAAAGUGUUUGUUUCAUGGUAAACACAUUAAAAUAUGAAGGCCCAUGUGUUGGAGGCGAAGCCCUAAUAGCAGCAGAGCAUGAAGAUGGAUUAUGGCGUGAGUGAAGGUCUGUAUGUGGUGGAUACUCACAUCCAUGUGAGCACACUGCCCCGUGGGUUUCGGGAGUACCAAAUUUGAAUACAAAAGGACAGUCAAAGCAUUGGG
rnacentral:lncRNA from 1 species